GGAACAUGUCCAAAUAGGGGCCUACCGUUGAAAUGUGUGUGGGUGAUAUGGCAGGUACACGUGGAAUACUAUCAUGGUUUCCGUCUACAUCGGCGAGUGUCUACGAUUUGUUAUGAAAUAUACCAGGAGUCUACAAAACAGACUGUGCCGGCCGUACGUUAUCUGCUUGUCGCUUCCAGUGGGAAUUAGCAGACAGAUAGACUGAGGCGCCUAACAAAAGUUCACGACCUGACAACUCAGUGUAAAUGUCAUCAGAAUAAUGAAGCUGAUCCUUCGACGCACACGGAAUCCAUAAACCAUAAACAACGAAUCCAGAAGCUAAUUAUCUCAUCAUAUCAAACGAUAAUUUGUGGCGAGUUUGCCCCACACUUUCCAUUGCAAUACAGACCCCAUAGUCUUCACUAGACUUAGAAAGUCGAUCCCCGUGUUUGUCUAUCUACCGUCUGUGGAGUGGGACUAGAUAAUGGUAGACUGCUGACCGCGGCGUCAGUGGCCAGUCCAUCGUGAAAUCGAGCAGGGUUCACAACGAGGCUGUGAAGAUGGCGGGCCGAGAAAGGGGUAGCAAUACAUAUGGAUAUCUGGAGUUGGGUGGGGGUACAAUAUCUAGUAGUGGGGCGCAGUCUCUAUUUAGGUGGGUGGCGGCCAGCGGGGUGGUGUCUUAUUGCUAUAGCAAAGAACAACAUACAUUUCCAUAGGCGGAUCUAGGGGGGUGCCCCAGGGUCAAGCCCCCACCCCCUAAAUUUUGCGACAGUUAUAAUAUUUUAUUAUAUAUUAAUUUCCAUCCCAUUCCAAACCUCCCCUAAAGUUCCCUUGGCAUUCCACCUCAUGUCAUUGGGGUCCCACUAAGUGGAUUUUCUAGAUCCGCCCCUGAUUACCGUCCUAACAUAGGGUGAGGCACAGCCCCUUCCCUCUUUUCUGCCCAUACCCCUCCCACCGCCGGUUCUUACGCUCCGGAAUCAACGGUCCAGGGCCCCGUUCCACGAAACGACCUUAGCCCUAAGAUCACCUAAAGUGCAUAGCUACCUUAUACACUUAAGGCGAUCUUAGCGUUAAGAUCGCUUCGUGGAACGGGGUCCUGAUAAAACAAUCAAAGAAACAAGCACUUACCUAUAUCCAUAUAGGCCUAUCCACGCAGUACUUGUAGAAUAUAUUGCAACAGAACAGCACAGUCGCUAGCAGUCGUCAUUAGGUAGUAUCAGAUCCAUGCAUGUUUUAUGUUUUUUAACAUUUAAAAUAAAUAUGACGAUAAAUGUCAAGCAGCGAUUCUGUUUGCACAUUUCUGAAGUUAAACUAUAUUCAGAAUGAUGUACGUAGUAUCGCGUUGACAUCAAUAAGCAUAUUAAAAUGUCAAAGCAUUGUCGACGUCACGUCAAAGGAAUGUUAACGUUUUUAAAUGGUAAUGUUGCCGACAGUCUAUUUCGAAAUGUCUUUGACAUGUGUGAGGCCCCAUGGUGAUCUCUGCCGUGUUAUAUAAUUAAUGUGGGCGAAGAAUAUAAUAAUAAUAAUAAUAAUAAUAAUAAUAAUAAGGGCACUUCAAACGAGCAAGGUGGGGUGGGGAGGGGGUCACGUCAAAGUUUCGAUGUGUUAGUUGUGCGAGCAAUAAAACCAGAAACAAUCCUAGAUUUCUUUUCAGACCCAAUCCUAUGCCAAUCCCAUCCCCACAUUAACAUAGUAGGAUGGUGCCUAUAGAAGAUC
rnacentral:lncRNA from 1 species